rnacentral:rRNA from 1 species
UACGUAGGGGGCCAGCGUUGUCCGGAAUCAUUGGGCGUAAAGAGCGUGUAGGCGGCCCGGUAAGUCCGCUGUAAAAGUCAAAGGCUUAACCUUUGAAUGUCAGUGGAUACUGCCGGGCUAGAGUCCGGAAGAGGCGAGUGGAACUCCUGGUGUAGCGGUGGAAUGCGCAGGAUAUCAGGAAGAACACCAACGGCGAAGGCAGCUCGCUAGGACGGUACUGACGCUGAGACGCGAAAGCGUGGGGAGCGAACAGG